CCAGCAGCCGCGGUAAUUCCAGCUCCAAUAGCGUAUAUUAAAGUUGUUGCAGUUAAAAAGCUCGAGUUGAACUUCAGGCCUGGCUGGGCGGUCUGCCUAACGGUAUGUACUGUCUGGCUGGGUCUUACCUCUUGGUGAGCCGGCAUGCCCUUCAUUGGGUGUGUCGGGGAACCAGGACUUUUACCUUGAAAAAAUUAGAGUGUUCAAAGCAGGCUUAUGCCCGAAUACAUUAGCAUGGAAUAAUAAAAUAGGACGUGCGGUUCUAUUUUGUUGGUUUCUAGAGUCGCCGUAAUGAUUAAUAGGGAUAGUUGGGGGCAUUAGUAUUCCGUUGCUAGAGGUGAAAUUCUUGGAUUUACGGAAGACUAACUAUUGCGAAAGCAUUUGCCAAGGAUGUUUUCAUUAAUCAAGAACGAAGGUUAGGGGAUCGAAAACGAUCAGAUACGCCUGCAUGGACACGCCUCCCAGUGGCGCAGGUGGUAACACGUUAAGAAACUUAUAUUGGCUUCCCCAGUAUCUG
rnacentral:ncRNA from 1 species